AUACGGGGGGGGCAAGCGUUGUUCGGAAUUACUGGGCGUAAAGGGCUCGUAGGCGGCAAGCCAAGUCGGACGUGAAAUCCCUCGGCUUAACCGGGGAACUGCGUCCGAUACUGGUUAGCUCGAAGCCGGGAGAGGGAUGCGGAAUUCCAGGUGUAGCGGUGAAAUGCGUAGAUAUCUGGAGGAACACCGGUGGCGAAGGCGGCAUCCUGGACCGGUCUUGACGCUGAGGAGCGAAAGCUAGGGGAGCAAACGGGAUUAGAAACCCCAGUAGUCC
rnacentral:rRNA from 1 species